UAUAAAGUCAACCUGUAGCUUUGCUAUAUAAAAAUGAUAGAAUCUGAAGCGAGAUGAUGUAUCAAAUAUUCUUGCUUUGUACGUUUUUAAGACAAAAUAUUCAUUUCAAACACACCCUAACAUAAAAAUGUGCACUCGAUUUUCUCUUUUCAAUACAAUUGUUACCCAUUUUUUGGAUUUUUUUCUUGAGUCACAUAAUGGAAGGGCAGACACGGAAAUAACUGAAAUAACAGUUAAUAAAAAUAUAAACUUUUUU
rnacentral:lncRNA from 1 species